CACAGUACAUGCUAAAUAGAUAAUUAUUAUUAAAUGCCUGAAUCAACAAAAUUAGGGAUUAAUUAGAAUUUAGCAAAUGGACCUCCUCUGUCCAAAUCUUGAGAGAUAACCAGAGGGUAUAAAAUUGAAGGGGGUGAGAGAACCAAGUGGGGGCUGAGGGGAGGCAAAUUUGAUGUCCAGUCUUCCCUCUACAUUUUAGGCCAACAGGUUAGCCAAGCCUCCUGUCUCUGAUGGUCUGCCGUUGGAAUGAAAAAACAUGGGUAAGCAGAUGAUAUCAGGAUGCUUCCCUGUCAUCCCACAGGGACUCCAGUUUUUAUAAAGUGAAUUCUUUCUGACUAGCCUACAAAGUAAUUCAUCAGAAAUGAGACCCAGGCCUUUUUGGAACUGAGUCUUGUCCACCAGUGUUUAAGUGGCUAACUGGGUAGGAAAAUCCCAGGCUUGAAGCUUAAUUAUCUCAUGGUGAGAAGUCCCUCUAGUACCGGCAGGCAGGAGAGGCCUGCUCUUGGCCUGGAACAGGGGAAAUUUGUGGGUUAAGCCAAGUGUGUUUCUCUGAGAGAGGAUGAAAAGCUUAUUUGGAGACAACAGUAGCCCCAUGGAAUAAUGUUGGGACUCAAAUGGUUGGGGGCAAGUGGAGAGGGCUGGUGUAGAGCUAUUAAGGGAUUCCUAGGGCCCAUCAGUGGGAUCCUUUGUACAAGUCUUACCUGGAAACUGGAUAUGUAAAACAGAGCUUCUAUGAUGGAAUUAGAAAGAGGACCGAGAGUGCCCAAUGGAGGUCAAUCCUUCAUAAUCUUAACUCUGUGCUUUAUACUUUUCCAGUAACCCCCAUCCCUCACCUCAACAUCACUUUUGCUUUAGUACCUGCCUAUAUUUAAUUUCCUUCAUGUGCUCUCUAUUUGGCUCAGAAAAUCCUUCUCCAUUUCUGUGCUUUCAAACAAGUCACCUUUGAAGACCUUAAUCAAUCGUCACAUCUCCUGCAAAGCCUCCCCUAACUUGUUUUGGUUAGUCAUUCUAUAUUAUUUAUUCAUUUGUUCACCCUACACAUAUGAAUUUAUUAAACCUCUAUUGUGUAUGAGACACUGCUAGGCAUUGUGAAUAUAAUACAAGUCUACUAUGUACUCACUGCCAACUAGAUAUCCUUCCAUGUCUCCCUCUAAAAUUAAAAUGCUUAGCAUGCUUAUAUGCAUAGCCCGUGGACAUGGGCAAUAGGGUGGUGAAGACUUGGGGGUGAGUGGGUAGAGGCUGGGAGGAGGGGGAUAAACGGAAGACAUCUGUAAUACUAUCAACAAUUAUAUAUAUAUAUAUGCUUAGCAUGACUAACAUCAUCCUUAAUUAUCUGGCCCCUGCCUAGUUUUCAAGGCCUGCUCCCCAGCAUCUAUUUAUUUCACCACUUAUCUGUACCCAAGGACUUGAGUGCUCACUUAAUUUGGCUCUCUCUCAAGUUUCUGUUCCUUUGUCUGUGCAAUAUUCCCUUCUUGUCUACUUGAACUCCAACCAUCCUUUAACACUCAUUUCUGGAAGCAUUUUGUGUAUGAGGUCUUCUCUAAAGUAUCCCCCUAUUCUCACUUCAAAUCCAACGUAUCAGAUACUUCCUCUUUUGGGUCUACAUAGCAUUCCAUAUUUAAUUUAAUCUCAUACAAUAUUGCAAAUCUUUUGUUUGCAUACUUAUCUGCAUUUGCUAGUCAGCCACUUUAUGCAGAGACCUUAUUCUAUCUAUCUUUGUAAUCCGUCACCAAGAUAAAACCUGGCACAAAGUUGGUGCUUAAAUGUUGGCUAAAUGAGCAAAUGAAUACAUUUAUUUGAACAAAUUGGGUAUCUUAAUAAGGAUAUUAAAUGACAGAAGUGGGAACCUGAAUGGAUACUCUGCCUACUCCAUUAUUUUAACUAGUGUAAUUUUUAAUGUUGGGGGAUAAAUCUCUGACCCAAGGUAGGAAAAGUAAAUGGCUAAGAAGUGGGCCUUCUAAACCUCUACUCUAUAUUCCCCUUACUUGUUUCUUCAGUUGUGUCCCUUUUCUUGUGCUGAAAGGAAUUUUGAUAUCCCAGUAGAUACAAGUUGAAGAAGGCCAUCUUAGCUCUUCCCUGACCUCUUCUGGAAUGUCCAGGCUGGAGCACCAAACUGGUAACCAUGCUUGGGAAGUUUCUAUCGGCAUAUCUUCAAAUUCACUGUUCUUUCCUUGAUUGUGAUCAAUCUACUACGUCCAUCAAAGGCAUUCUUCAUUUCUCUGAAACAAGCUAGAGGAGGCUGGAGUUGGUUGUUUUCCUUCUCCCACAUUGGUUAGGCCAGGGGUGGGCAACCUUUUUGUGAGUGCGUGCCAAAACCAGCAAAAUCUGACUCAAAAUUCUUCUGCGUGCCAACCCUAAUUUUUUGAGAACAUG